CGUCACGGUUGAGCCUUGCAUGUAGUGUGGCAUCAUCAAUGUGCGCCUCAGAUUUGGUGCAGCGCACUCGUUUUCAUGGCGCGUCAAAAGUUCUGAGUUGGUGUUAAUUUGUGGGGCUUUCUUCCGUAUUUGCACGCUAUCUAUCUCAGUAAUUUACAAUGAGCUUGUUCGGCUCAAGUUCUGGAUUUGGGGCCGGAGGCACAGGCGUUUUCGGCAGCACCACAACAGACAGCCAUAAUCCAAUGAAGGAUGUGGAAGUGACGUCACCACCCGAUGACAGCAUAAGCUGCUUGGCCUUUAGCCCUCCAACAUUGCCUGGAAACUUUUUGAUUGGUGGCUCUUGGGCCAAUGAUGUGAGAUGCUGGGAGGUUCAGGAUAACGGCCAGACAGUCCCUAAAGCUCAGCAGAUGCACACAGGCCCUGUGCUGGAUGUCUGCUGGAGUGAUGAUGGAAGUAAAGUCUUUACAGCCUCCUGUGACAAAACUGCCAAGAUGUGGGAUCUGAACAGCAACCAGGCCAUGCAGAUAGCACAGCAUGAAGGUCCAAUCAGGACAAUACACUGGAUAAAAGCCCCAAACUACAGCUGUGUCAUGACGGGUAGUUGGGACAAAACACUGAAAUUUUGGGACACUCGCUCUCCAAACCCCAUGAUGUCCCUGCAGAUGCCAGAGAGAUGUUACUGUGCCGAUGUGGUGUAUCCUAUGGCUGUUGUGGCCACUGCAGAACGAGGGCUAAUCGUGUACCAGUUGGAGAAUCAGCCAUCGGAGUUCCGGCGUAUAGAUUCACCUCUGAAGCAUCAGCACCGCUGUGUGGCCAUCUUUAAGGACAAACAAAAUAAACCCACUGGAUUUGCACUGGGCAGUAUUGAGGGGCGAGUGGCCAUUCACUACAUUAACCCACCCAAUCCCGCCAAGGACAAUUUCACCUUCAAGUGCCAUAGAUCUAAUGGAACGAACACCGCCACACCCCAGGAUAUUUACGCUGUCAAUGCCAUCGCUUUCCAUCCAGUGCACGGCACGUUGGCCACGGUGGGCUCUGACGGCCGCUUCAGUUUCUGGGAUAAGGACGCUCGCACAAAGCUGAAAACCUCUGAGCAGCUUGAUCAGCCUAUCACAGCUUGCUGCUUCAACCACAACGGCAACAUCUUUGCCUACAGCUCCAGCUAUGAUUGGUCCAAGGGACAUGAGUACUACAACCCCCAGAAGAAGAACUACAUUUUUCUGCGAAAUGCUGCUGAGGAACUCAAGCCUCGGAACAAGAAAUGGUGAGAGUGGGAUUUCCGUUACCAUGGAGACGGUGUCUGUCGCCAGGCUUCGUUGUGGUCUCCUCUCUGUGCUGUUUUGACACUUGCCUUCUUCAGCAUCCAAGUAUGCUUUGCAUGAAGGAAAAAAGAUCCUGUCAAGCUGUUGCAUCUCGGAAGACCUGUGUUAGCAUGUAAAUACGGGAGAAAGGGAGAGAUCGUCUUAUGGCUAACAUCUGGACCAAUGACGUGGCAUUGCAUACAUUGUAUGGACCAAUCAGAAAGGGCCAGCCACUCCUACACGAUGGUGAUGACAGCAAAUUGCUUUGCGCUGCACAAGAGAAGUCAUGCUUUAGUGUCCUUGGUGAAUGUGGUUGUUUUUUGUUAUCCUUCCUAACUACAGCUUUUUUUUUUCUUUUUUUUUUUCUUUUUUUUUUAAUACUUCUUUCCAAAGCAAAAAAAAAAAAAAAAACCCACACGUUUCCACCACUUCUUUGCUGUCACAACAUGGUGUAGAUUAUAUUCUUUAUUCUGUGAAAUGAAUAAAUGUCUCAAACUCCA